rnacentral:rRNA from 1 species
GGUAGUCCACGCAGUAAACGAUGCAUACCCGGUGUUGGGUGCGCUGUCAAAGGCGCGCGCAGUGCCCAAGCUUACGCGCUGAGUAUGCCGCCUGGGGACUACGAGCGCAAGCUUAAAACUCAAAGGAAUUGACGGGGCCCGCACAAGCAGCGGAGCGUGUGGUUUAAUUCGACGCAACGCGCAGAACCUUACCUUGCCUUGACAUGCAGCUGCACACGCCAGAAACGGCGGAGCCUUCGAGGUGCUGCACCGGUGCUGCAUGGCUGUCGUCAGCUCGUGUCGUGAGAUGUUGGGUUAAG